UUACCCCUCCACAGAGGCAUUGCUAUUUUUUGUGCAAUCUCUAGGCCUACGUUGCAAAACCAAAACAUAAACAAAGCUUGGUUCACAUUCUUACAAACCAUCAUCGAUUAGCAGUGGCUGCAGCACGAGGUACGAGUUCAAGCCCCAGUGUGUGUUAUUUGUUUUUUUUUCUUCGGCCAGCCCUUUUGCAACAGAACACUCGUUGAAUGAAUCGCUGUCCGUCAUCCCGUUGAAGAAAAGAUAAUUCUUCGAAUACCGAAUGAUUGAUGAUUUUGAUCUCUAGGUGACUGACUACCGUCAACAUCGCAAUAGCUGAUAAUAAGCAUAAAACAGUCUCUAAGGUUUACAUCUAUUUGUUCAUCAAAUCAUCGUCAACAGUAUUUAAUAAUCUCUUAUAUGAUUUUUGUCCGGUAGAAGAAAAAAAAAUCUACAAGUCUCCCGACGAUUAUAUCUACGCAGUCCCGAAGUAGUGAAGAAUGGAUGGGUGCAGCAUUUCGCAGAAUCAAUAUUCAACAUUCUUCCGUAGCCAUGUCAGCAGUGUCGAAAUGCUCCAGCUAGGUAAGUACCACUUGCUUAGUAGGCGGCUUCGGUGGAAAGAAUUUCCGCAUCCAUCCAUCAAAGCAGUCGUUUGAAUUCGAAGGUUUUUUUGGUGUUCGAAAGUAAACAAACCAAUGCAAUGAAUCCACCUAACGAAAUACCGUAAACAAAUAUUACACCAUCGGUGCUUUCUUCGACCAUCCAACCGCUCAUAAAAUCGUGCGCAGCUGCAAUGGAUCUUGCAUCGUGAAUGCAAUUUUAUUUCUUCCCUACUGCCUUGCCUGUGUGGGGAAGGCAGGGCAGCAGUUACUGAGCGCAUAUAUAAUAUCAUAAGGAUAGAUACUUGUUUGAUGGACUAUAAUAGCACCAGAACGACCCGAUGCGAUGGAAUGUUUGUGUUUAUGGUUGUUUUG